rnacentral:rRNA from 1 species
UUUAAUUGAAGAGUUUGAUCAUGGCUCAGAUUGAACGCUGGCGGCAGGCCUAACACAUGCAAGUCGAACGGUAACAGGAAGCAGCUUGCUGCUUUGCUGACGAGUGGCGGACGGGUGAGUAAUGUCUGGGAAACUGCCUGAUG